ACGGGACGUGUCACGUCCAUCUCGUUAACGAAUUUUCGUAGCAAGUCAUUCUCCUCUUUAUCGAGAUUUGCGAAAAGGUCGGCAUCUGCUGAUCCGACAGUGCCGUUGAAUUGGUCAUUUUGUCGCUGCAUCUUUUCUAUUUGAUCCAAAAAUUCGGCAAUAGGAUUUUGCUCGCGAAUUCCUUCAGCAUCGUCAGAAUCUCCCUUCGAGU